ensembl:lncRNA
AAACAGUCAGCCUCGCGGGGAGUGUUUAUCCAGCUAUGGGGGAACAUGGCUGCAGUUAUCUCGUUCACACUUUCCAAGCUGACCCGCUUCCCCGGCAUGUUUGUUCAGGACAGGGUACGCCCCCCCCCCCCCCACGCAUCUGAUCCAUCCCAGGGGAAGUCCCAUAUACAGGAAGCUAGCAGACAGGGCACGCCUCCCUCUACUCUGACCUGGGAAGAAAUACUGAAACCCUUCCCCAGGCAAGACAGCUAACACUCCUUCCUAUAUUUCUAAUGUGAGUUUGGCAGGGUUUGUAGGGAGAUUCCUAGCACAAGGCACUGUGAUUGGCACCAGUAACCUUUGCAGUACUGACUGUUCGCUAAAUGAUUGAAGAGUAUCUGUUCAAAAGUUCGUGUCCACCCAGAACCUAUGAAAGGAAAACAGAAGUAGAGCCCUUACAGAGAUUUCAGAGACGAAUGCUGGAUGCCUGAAGUGACAUCCCAAACAACACCAAGAUCUGUUGCAAACCACCAAGCUGGACAGAACCUGCCCCUCCAGUAUUCAAGAGGAAUAUGACCAGGGCUGACUAAGGUCAAGACCAGCAGCGAUCCAUCAUUUGGUCAUGAGUGUCUGAGAUGCUGUGCGAUGAGGAUAGCAGCUUGCCUACGUGGUCUGUCUUCUCAAACCUCAAUCCCAGUUUAAUCAGAAGGAAAACACCAGGCAAGGCCAAUUUGAGGGACCGUCUGAAAACCACUGUGCCAUAUUCCUUAAAACUGCUCCAAAGACUGUUUUUGACACUGCUUCUUGCCAAAGAAGUCUAAAGCAGACACGAUGGUUUAACAAAAUGAGGAAUCUUCAAAGCAUCCCAGGACAGAAAAAGAACAUUUGGUAAACACCAAGGACACCUGAAUACAGUUGAGACUUUAGUAAUUAUGCCUCAAUACUGGUGUAUGAGUUAUGAAAAAUAUACCAUACUAAUGUAAGAUUUAAUAGCGGAAACUGCAUGUAGGGGACAGGGAAAUUUCCAUACCAUCUGGGCAAUUUUUAUGUAAAUUAAAAAAAACUACCUUAAAAAUUAAGCUAACUCAGCCAGGUAGUGGUGGCAUACACCUUUAAUCCCAGGACUCAGGACGAAGAGGCAGGCGGAUCUCUGUGAGUUCGAGACAAGAGGUAGUUCCAGGAUAGCCUCCAAAGCCACAGAGAAACCCUGUCUCAAAAAAACAAACAAACAAACAAACAAAAAAACAAAAAAAAAGAAUUAAGCUAACUCAGGAAUCAUAUGAUUGUAAAUGAGUAUGAAGAUUGGGUAAUUAGGCAUGGCCACGUCUGUAGGAUGACCUCUUCCCCCCUAAACAACAAAAUUACCAUUAACUCCACCCACUCCAGUUUUCUAAACACUAGAAUUCAAAGAACUAGCCACUCUUUUGAUAACAGAGGACAAAUUCCAUUUUCUUCUUUCCCCUGUGUUCCAGAGAUGUAAAUAUAAACCCAUAAUGCAUAGAGCAAUUGUUACAUUAAUCUUGUGUGUGAGUGCCGGGAAUGAAUCCAGGGCCUCCCACAUCCUAAGCAAGUACUCUACCAUUGAACUACUUCUGAGCCCUAAAUUUUAACAUUGCCCAAUCACAAUUCACAAUAAUAUGGUCCCAAGUUGUUUGGAUUUUUAAAAGAUUUACUAAUUAUGUCUGUAUGUGUAUGUACAUGUGAUUCCAGUGCCUAAGGUGGCCAGAGGCAUCAGAUCCCCUGCAGCUGGGGUUCCAGGCCAUUGUGAGCCGCCUGACACUGAGUAUUAGGAACUGAACACAGGUCCUCUUCAAGAGUAGUAGGCACUCCUAACCACUGAACCAUCUCUCCAACCCCCAAGUUUUCUUUCCCACUACAUGCUCAACAUAAAUCCCCGUCCAGGCUACAGUGGUCAUGAUAAACUCUUAUAUAUCAAAGCUACAUGGCCAGGUUGUGUAAAACCUGCUGGGCCCCAGCUCAAGGCUUUCUGAUUCAUGAGGCCUGGAGCAAGGCCUGGGAAUUUGCAUCUAUAACUAGUCCCCAGUUUCUGCUGCCGGUUGUGGUCCAGGGAGCAUAAUUUGAAAAUCCCUUUCAUGAUUACUUUUCCUUCUUUGUGUGUCUCCAUACCUUUAGAGUACCAUCUGAAAUGUAGUCAGCAUUUAUUGGGGUCAUAGCCACAUAGACUUGUAGGAUUCAGCUAUGAGCGUAAGCAAUAAGACUCCUAUUCUCAUAGCGCUUGCAUUUUAGUCACUAGAGAUUAAUAAACGAGUGAAUCACAGGCCACACUGAGUACUCUGAGAGGAUAAGAGAAGGAUGAAUAAAUGUAGCUAAGGGGUAUGGAGACUCUUGUGUGCCUGGCCACCAGACAUUCACCUCAUUCUCUGUUUUUGUAUUACCAUUGAAUUUCCUAGCAAUGUUGGCUGGCAAAAUGGAGCCUACUUGAAUUACUUCAUGCAGGAAUGCUUAGAUAAAAUAACUGACACUCAAUACUUUAUAAACAACAGAAACUCCUGAUUAACAGCUUUGUUGUAGGAUAUUUUGAUCACACUGUGGCACUCCAAGACUGUUAAAUAAAUAACAGUUAAACCUUGUAUAGGGGAGGAGGGGUGGGAGUGGACCCAGGAACUAGUGGACCAGAACUAGCCAUAGAGAAGCCAGCAAUUUGGAUAGAGAAGAUGCACAGAAAAGAAAAGGCAGGAACUAGAGUUUGAGCUUUUUUUUGGUUCUGGGAAGAAGAGAUAUAAGGUCAUCUUGUUGCUACCCAACCUCUCUGAGCUAACAGGUUUUCACCCCAGCCUUUGAAUCUUGAGUCUUAUUUAUAAAUAAAAAGAUAGAGACUUCAUUUAAACCUACAUAUCACAGACCUGGCUUUCUGGAAAUCCUGCCAGGCCAAGGCCGGAGUGGCCAGUGGGGCACUGACUACAGGGCCAUGGAGCCAUAGAUGAUAAUUAAAAUAUUAGUAGAUCCACAUGUAGCCACUAAGACAACAGAAAAACAUCAGUUCUGAUGGCUAAGACAUCCGUCAUCUGAAAGACUCCUGGAGGCUCAGGCCCCCAGGAUCUCGGUCCAGGACUGCGAUGACCCCAAUCACUGGGGGAGGUGGAAACUUGAUGCAAACAGCAAGAGGUUUUAUUGUAGUUGUUUAACGAGCUAGCACCAUGUUAGCUUGGGCCUUUCAUCCAUCCACCAUGGUGGAUGGCUAGGAAAGACGCAGAGAAGCCACUGCAUAGAGAUCUUAUAGGGCAGCAUAAGGGGAGUGUCUAGGGAUACACACAGGUUCAGGAUUGGUGUGCCUUCAGGCUUGCCCUGUGUUGAUUGGUCAACUGGUUGUUAUGACCCAUAGGCCCUCCCAGGGUGGUUGCUAUGCUCUGCACGUCAUUGCUGUGCACUUGUCUGUAAAGCACACCCAGAGCCAUAAAACAUAGCACCACCAGCUAACUUCUGGUUGGCUCCUUGCCACGAGGCAGGCAUCUGACCUCCUAGUGACCAAGACAAGGUCAGGCAAGCAUGUGCUAGGCUGUUAUGGCUGCUGAAAUGGGGAACUGGUCCCUUCAUUCCCCCAUUUUCUUUUUUGGAGAUUCAAAUCAUGGAAUUGCAGUCUCUCCAGCGUCCUCAUCAGGGAGUGAGAGAUAUUGGCACCCCCCAUGUAAGGGAGUUCCUUUUGACUUAGCAUUUCAACCAGGGAAAAUGGGUGACAUAUUCUUUCCCAUGCUACUUCCUCUGACUUUGAGAUGAAGUUAGGGACCCAAGAAGGUCGAAAUGCUAGUCAAAAGCAAAAAGGGAAUUUAGGCAAUGGGGAAUCCAUCAGGAGCUUAUGGUUGGCAGACUCUGUUGCAGAGACAGGGCGUGUCCACAUCAGCUGGACUGGUUCACAUUCACAGCAUGUCCAGGGCUUGCAGUCUACUUAGGCACAGCCUGUAGUCAGCAACUGAUACUCAGAUGUGUCUGCCAGAAGCAGAAACCUGUUUAAGACAUGUUUAAACUGGGAACAGACAUUAAAACUUAUUUACUGAAGCCCAUAGUGCAGAAGAAACAGAUAUCUGGAUAUCUGUUCAAAAAC